rnacentral:lncRNA from 1 species
AUGGGCACAAUAGGGAAUUGGCCACAACAAGUGGGAAUUGUCAAGAAGGUUAAGAAGCUAUACAUGGAGCACUUGAUAAAAGGAGGCGAUAUAAUCUUAUAAAUAGAUCAAAAUGGGUGGAUCAUCUACACCAAGCAGUUUUGUCGUAGUGGAUGGUAAGAAGGCCAAAAUAUUUGGUGCAGCCGCUAAAACUAGCUAAGAGUGAUCGGGUUAAGGACAGCC